rnacentral:lncRNA from 1 species
UUUCUACCAGUUUUUUUGCUUUGCCUUUUUACUUCCUAAAUGAUAUCUUUUCGAGCACAUUAUUUUUACAUAAACUUACGUGUCUCAUGCAAGUACUAUGCAUGUUUUUCACAGGUCAGGUAUUACAACUCUUAUUCUGUAAAAUAGAAUGUUAACUUUCAGAGAAGUUGAAAAGUUCAAGAUUGCUUAGCUAGUAAGUAGAAUACCUGGGUUUAUCUGACUCAAAUCGUUAUGCUCUCAUCUAUAAUGUAUUGCUUGAAUAGGGUGAUAGAAUAUUAGUAAAGGUGUUGUUAAAGAUGUAUAAGAUCUAUUUACAUAUCAACAAUAGAUAUGAUACUUGGGAAUGAGUGGUUAAGAAAUGAUGUAUAAACUCUUUAAGGAGAAAAUUUACUUAAAGAUAUUAAAGGGGAUUUAAAUAAAAUAAAUGAAGAAAUAUAUAAUGUUCUUGAACAGUGUGAUGUGGAUUGGCGGUAUUGUUUCAGAAUAUUCACUUCUGCUAUAAAAAAAUAAAUGGGAUUGAUGAAACUCUUUAGAUGUGUUAAGUAUGGAUAAGCAAUUAUGUAGUAUAUGUGUAUGUAUAAACAAAUACAAAGGGUUGGGAGGACUAAAGAUCAUGAGGCACAAAACACAUCUAAAUGUUCAUGAUACACUAAGUAUACAAGAGACACUUAAUAUUUAGGAAUGCACUAAAUAUAUGUUGUAUACGAAAACACUCAAUAUUUGUAGUGUCAUAGUUCAACUAUUCAUUAGUGGUACCCAUUCUGACCUCACACGAUCUCUAUCCAAUCAGCAUGAAUUAAAGCCAAGAUAUUCAAUAGGCUAAUUGGAAAGCUGCUGUUGUGGCCAGGUGUACUUGCCUGAGUCACCAAUAGAAGUAUGUAUUAUUGGUCCACAGUACCUUCUGCUUGUGGGCCUCCUUGUUCAAAUCUCAACUUUGUACCUUGCUACUACGUUAUUAGUGGGGAAAGCUCAUGUGGUAGGAAAGACAGAACAAGAGGCAGGUAAUGUGGUCCUUCCCGCAGCUUGGAUCCUAUCCUCCUCUCUUGCCAUUUGUUUCUCACUGUGUGUUUUAAAGGGACUUAAUAACCACAUGAUUUGAAUAUUUUAAUUUAGUUUUAAAUCUUGUUGUUCUAUGACCUCCGAGAUAGCUUUCCUGGUAGUAUACCUUUAGGCUAACUGUACAUCAAGGUAAUUUCCCACACAACAAAAAGAUUGAAUUUCUGAAAAGUUAAUAGAUCCGAUGGCAUUUUAAUCAGAAUCUUAAUAUACUCUUCUCUUAUAACUGAUCAGUUGAAUCUAACUGAUGCAACUUACUAAUGUAAGUAACAGCAAUGAUGCUCCUGAGGAAGAAAGAGGGGAAAAAAGUAAAUGGAGAAGAUCAUGGUGAUGGAAACUCUUGUCCUAUUACAUAAUAAGAUUUAUUUAAA